rnacentral:rRNA from 1 species
UCCUACGGGAGGCAGCAGUGGGGGAUAUUGCACAAUGGGGGGAACCCUGAUGCAGCCAUGCCGCGUGUGUGAAGAAGGCCUUCGGGUUGUAAAGCACUUUCAGUUGUGAGGAAAGGUUAGUAGUUAAUACCUGCUAGCUGUGACGUUAGCAACAGAAGAAGCACCGGCUAACUCCGUGCUAGCAGCCGCGGUAAUACGGAGGGUGCGAGCGUUAAUCGGAAUUACUGGGCGUAAAGCGCACGCAGGCGGUUUGUUAAGCUAGAUGUGAAAGCCCCGAGCUCAACUUGGGAUGGUCAUUUAGAACUGGCAGACUAGAGUCUUGGAGAGGGGAGUGGAAUUUCUAGUGUAGCGGUGAAAUGCGUAGAUAUUAGAAGGAACAUCAGUGGCGAAGGCGACUCCCUGGCCAAAGACUGACGCUCAUGUGCGAAAGUGUGGGUAGCGAACAGGAUUAGAUACCCUGGUAGUCCACACCGUAAACGCUGUCUACUAGCUGUGUGUGUCUUUAAGACGUGCGUAGCGAAGCUAACGCGCUAAGUAGACCGCCUGGGGAGUACGGCCGCAAGGUUAAAACUCAAAUGAAUUGACGG